rnacentral:lncRNA from 1 species
CCAAAAACAUACUUCUUCUCCCUCCAUUCUUUCACUUAGAUUUUUAGGUAAUAAUUUUCAAGUAAGCAAAUCAAUUUAGCACAAGGUAAAUUAGGUAAGAGGUUCCUACGGAAUACCGUAGAUGCUUAGGGUGCUAGCACCUUCCCUUUGCAUAACCAACCCCCGAAUCCAAAGUCUCGAUGAGGGUUUUUACUCAUUUUUUCCCUUCCCACGAAUAAAAAUCGAGAGUUCAAAGAUUAACGAUUCAUAUCAAUUAAUGGUUUGAUAUCCGAAAAUCACGAGCACAGAAAUGGCGACUUCACUGGGGACUUAAAUUCUACGCGGGUUAAACCCACCUUACUUUAUUUAUUUUGUGCUGUACUAUUUGCUUAUGCUUUGUAAAUAUUUUGCUUACAUACCUUGUUACAUGAGUGGUGAGAUAAGUCCUACACCCGGGCUUGAGUGAAACAUAAGAUAGGACGGAGUACGAUCAUAGUGCCAUACCAGGAGCGGUCCUGCGAUAUGUGUACACAUGAUGUAACUCCACUCAACGUAGGUCUUUCAAAAGUAAUAAUAUGUCGUCAUGAGCAGUCGUGAUUGGCGUUAUUAUUUUUGAAGUCCGCUAAACGUUGAGGACCUUUAGAUCACCCUUAACACAUCUUGGCCUUUUUUAGGACGUAGUGCGGUGGCUAAACCAAGAGCAGUCUUGACUUUGGUCGACACGCGAUACUACACUCAAACUAGACUUACUUAUGGAUGUUAUUGGACUAGGAGCGGUCCUAUACACCGAUAUGUUCAUAAGGGAAGUUGUAAUUUGGGAACUUGGUAGAACCCGUGAUACAGGUACAAUUUGAAACCAUAGUCCUUACCAAAUGAUGUUGUUACCCUUGACUCCAACAUUGU